rnacentral:lncRNA from 1 species
UGUGAAUGCAACUCUUUAGCUGUUCCACACUAAAAGACAGCCUCUCUUUCCACCUGCCUCUUCCCUAGAUAAUGCUGUUUAUAUGCCAAGCACCCCGUAAUGUAUACGUGCUCCUUCAUGACAGCAACUUUCCCUUCUCUUCUAUCCAUUUCUUGAAGCUGGGAGACUCACUUGUCUUUAGAAGUCUUUAGCAAAGAAGAUUCUAUAAACCUCCCACUUCUCUGUCCUGGAGUCCAAGUAACCUAUCUCUGUGUCUAGUUCUCUACUUGUUCAGCCUCCCA